CCCGGGCCCCCGCGAUGAUGUGCGACGGAAUCCGCGGUGGGCUAUGCACAUAGACCUCCAUCGCACCGCUUUCUGUUUGGCAGAAAGCGGCCCGAACACGGGAGAGAACGCUGAGCGUUACAAC
rfam:Corynebacterium kroppenstedtii DSM 44385, complete genome.